AGAGUUUGAUCAUGGCUCAGGAUGAACGCUGGCGGCGUGCCUAACCCAUGUAAGUCGAACGCUCCUGCAGCAAUGUGGGAGAGUGGCGGAAGGGUGAGUAACACGUGGGCGACCUACCUCAUCGCAGGGAACAACCGCGCGAAAGCGCGACUAAUACCCAAAAGGCUCGGUGCUUCGGUGUGCCGAGGAGAGUGUCGAAAGAUGCGUGAUGAGCGGGGCCUGCGGCCCAUCAGCUAGUUGGUAGGGUAGUGGCCUACCAAGGCGACGACGGGUAGGGGGUCUGAGAGGACGAUCCCCCACACUGGAACUGAAACACGGUCCAGACGCCUACGGGUGGCAGCAGGGAGGAAUAUUGCACAAUGGGCGCAAGCCCGAUGCAGCAACGCCGCGUGGAGGAUGAAGGCCUUCGGGUCGUAAACUCCUUUUGAGGGAGACGAGCAAGGACGGUAUCCCUCGAAUAAGCCACGGCUAACUACGUGCCAGCAGCCGCGGUAAAACGUAGGUGGCGAGCGUUAUCCGGAUUCAUUGGGCGUAAAGCGCCUGUAGGUGGCUUGGUAAGUUGGACGUGAAAUCUCCCGGCUUAACCGGGAGGGGUCGUUCAAUACUGCCGGGCUGGAGGAUGUCAGAGGGCAGCGGAAUUCCUGGUGUAGCAGUGAAAUGCGUAGAUAUCAGGAGGAACACCCGUGGCGAAGGCGGCUGCCUGGGGCAUAACUGACACUGAGAAGCGAAAGCUAGGGGAGCAAACGGGAUUAGAAACCCCGGUAGUCCUAGCCGUAAACGAUGGACGCUAGGUGUCGGCAGAUCUAACCCUGCCAGUGCCGAAGCCAACGCGUUAAGCGUCCCGCCU
rnacentral:rRNA from 1 species